CAAAUUGAACAUUUUCUCUUUCUGCAGUCUUAAAAUUAAACUCUUUUACUUUUGAAUAACAUCUGGUUGGCAAACACAUACCAUCUUAUUUUCUUACGUUGAGUAUGGGGCAUUCCAGCAUAUCUGCAAAGUAGUCAACAUAUAGAUACAGCCUCAAGAAUAUUGAUGAGGAAGAGCCAGAUACACAUACAUAAAUGUGGCAGUUGAGGCUUGCAUUGCACAGGGGUUGCAAGAGACAGAGGUAAAUAGUUCUCACAAUCCAAUUUGCUGAAUGCAAGGGGAUCCUGCCAUCAUGAAUUAGAAUGGGCACUGACCUCCUUAGCAU
rnacentral:lncRNA from 13 species